rnacentral:misc_RNA from 1 species
CCAAUAGCGUAUAUUAAAGUUGUUGCAGUUAAAAAGCUCGUAGUUGAACUUCGGGGUUUACUUAUUGGUCAGGCUUAAUUGUCUGCACUGGUGAGAUGAAUCUCUACCUUCUGAGGAAUUUUCAUGCCAUUUAUUUGGUGUGAUUGGAAAUCAGGACUGUUACUUUGAAAAAAUUAGAGUGUUUAAAGCAGGCUAACGUCUGCAUACAUUAGCAUGGAAUAAUGAAAUAGGACGGACUGAUUCUAUUUCGUUGGUUUCUAGGAUCACCGUAAUGAUUAAUAGGGAUAGUUGGGGGCAUUAGUAUUCAAUUGUCAGAGGUGAAAUUCUUGGAUUUAUUGAAGACUAACGACUGCGAAAGCAGUUGCCAAGGAUGUUUUCAUUAAUCAAGAACGAAAGUUAGGGGAUCGAAGACGAUCAGAUACCGUCGUAGUCUUAACCAUAAACUAUGCCGACUAGGAAUCAGACGAUGUUAAUUUUUUAAUGACUCGUUUGGCACCUUACG